GUCCAGCCUGCCCAGUGAACUUGUUUUCAACGGCCGCGGUAUCCUAACCGUGCAAAGGUAGCAUAAUCACUUGUCCUCUAAAUAGGGACUUGUAUGAACGGCUUAAUGAGGGCCUAACUGUCUCCUGUAGCCAAUCAAUGAAACUGAUCUCACAGUACAAACGCUGUGAUACACCUAUAAGACGAAAAGACCCUGUGGAGCUUUAAAUUCUAACAUUAAUUAUAAUCACUUAACACUCACUAUAAUAUAAUGUAAAUUUUAAGUUGGGGCGACUACGGAGUAAAAAAGAACCUCCAUACAACACGACUAAACCUCGUUACAUUAGGCCAACAAGCCACAACAAAACAAAAGACCCAGUCAAACUGAUCAUUGAACCAAGUUACCCCAGGGAUAACAGCGCCAUCCCCUUAAAGAGUCCACAUCGCUAAGGGGGUUUACGACCUCGAUGUUGGAUCAGGACAUCCAAGUGGUGCAGCCGCUACUAAGGGUUCGUUUGUUCAACGAG
rnacentral:rRNA from 1 species